rnacentral:rRNA from 1 species
GAUGAACGCUAGCGACAGGCCUAACACAUGCAAGUCGAGGGGCAUCGGGGCGAGGAGCAAUCCUUGCCGCCGGCGACCGGCGCACGGGUGAGUAACGCGUAUGCGACCUGCCCGUUGCAGGGGGAUAAUCGGGAGAAAUCCCGUCUAAUACCGCGUAAUGCCGCGGGGCUGCAUGGCCCUGCGGCCAAAGGAAGCGAUUCCGGCAACGGAUGGGCAUGCGUGACAUUAGCUAGUUGGCGGGGCAACGGCCCACCAAGGCGACGAUGUCUAGGGGUUCUGAGAGGAAGGUCCCCCACACUGGUACUGAGACACGGACCAGACUCCUACGGGAGGCAGCAGUGAGGAAUAUUGGUCAAUGGGCGCGAGCCUGAACCAGCCAAGUCGCGUGAGGGAUGACGGCCCUACGGGUUGUAAACCUCUUUUGUCGGGGAGCAAAUUCCGCCACGUGUGGCGGAGUCGAGAGUACCCGAAGAAAAAGCAUCGGCUAACUCCGUGCCAGCAGCCGCGGUAAUACGGAGGAUGCGAGCGUUAUCCGGAUUUAUUGGGUUUAAAGGGUGCGUAGGCGGACUGUCAAGUCAGCGGUAAAAUACGGGGGCUCAACCUCCGCCCGCCGUUGAAACUGACGGUCUUGAGUGGGCGAGAAGUAUGCGGAAUGCGUGGUGUAGCGGUGAAAUGCAUAGAUAUCACGCAGAACUCCGAUUGCGAAGGCAGCAUACCGGCGCCCAACUGACGCUGAAGCACGAAAGCGUGGGUAUCGAACAGGAUUAGAUACCCUGGUAGUCCACGCAGUAAACGAUGAAUACUAGCUGUCCGGGGCGAAUGAGCCCUGGGUGGCACAGCGAAAGCGUUAAGUAUUCCACCUGGGGAGUACGCCGGCAACGGUGAAACUCAAAGGAAUUGACGGGGGCCCGCACAAGCGGAGGAACAUGUGGUUUAAUUCGAUGAUACGCGAGGAACCUUACCCGGGCUCAAACGACACAGGAACGUACCUGAAAGGGUUCGGCUCUACGGAGCCUGUGUCGAGGUGCUGCAUGGUUGUCGUCAGCUCGUGCCGUGAGGUGUCGGCUUAAGUGCCAUAACGAGCGCAACCCCCAUCGACAGUUGCUAACAGGUCAGGCUGAGGACUCUGUCGAGACUGCCGGCGCAAGCUGCGAGGAAGGCGGGGAUGACGUCAAAUCAGCACGGCCCUUACGUCCGGGGCGACACACGUGUUACAAUGGCAGGUACAGCGGGAAGCCACCUGGCGACAGGGAGCGGAACCCGAAAGCCUGUCUCAGUUCGGAUUGGAGUCUGCAACCCGACUCCAUGAAGCUGGAUUCGCUAGUAAUCGCGCAUCAGCCACGGCGCGGUGAAUACGUUCCCGGGCCU